CGGUUGAUCCCGCCGGACCUUACUGCUAUCGGGAUGAGACUAAGCCAUGCAAGUCGUGCGCUCUCAAGCUAUGUUGAGGGCGCGGCGAACGGCUCAGUAACACGUAGUCAACCUACCCUUGGGACAGGUAUAACCCCGGGAAACUGGGGUUAAUACCUGAUAAUCGAAAAAUACCUCGGAAUGGAUUUUCGAUGAAACGACGCUGGAAACAUGCUUCCAGCGUCGCCCAAGGAUGGGACUGCGUCCGAUCAGGUUGUUGGUGGGGUAACGGCCCACCAAGCCUAUGACCGGUACGGGCCCUGAGAGGGGGAGCCCGGAGAUGGAAACUGAGACAAGGUUCCAGGCCCUAUGGGGCGCAGCAGGCGCGAAAUCUCCACAAUGCGCGAAAGCGCGAUGGGGUUACCCCGAGUGCCCUCCUAUGAGGAGGGCUUUUCUUCGGCGUAAACAGCCGAGGGAAUAAAGGGGGGGCAAGACUGGUGUCAGCCGCCGCGGUAAUACCAGCCCCCUGAGUGGUAAGGAUGAUUAUUUGGCCUAAAGCGUCCGUAGCCGGCUCAGCAAGUCCCUCGUGAAAUCCGACGGCUUAACCGUCGGGCGCGCGAGGGAUACUGCUGAGCUUGAGGACGGGAGAAGUCGACGGUAUUCCAAGGGUAGGGGUGAAAUCCUAUAAUCCUUGGAAGACCACCAGUGGCGAAGGCGGUCGACUAGAACGUGCCUGACGGUGAUGGACGAAAGCUGGGGGAGCGAACCGGAUUAGAUACCCGGGUAGUCCCAGCCGUAAACGAUGCGGGCUAGGUGUUGAAGUAGCCACGAGCUACUUCAGUGCCGCAGAGAAGUCGUUAAGCCCGCCGCCUGGGAAGUACGGUCGCAAGACUGAAACUUAAAGGAAUUGGCGGGGGAGCAC
rnacentral:rRNA from 1 species